AAAAUAACUCCGCCUGUAGCCUCUCACAAAGCGACCGCCGAUCCCAAGCCCGGAUAAAGGGGGAGGGUUAG
rnacentral:ribozyme from 2 species